ACCUACACCACAGCUCAUGGCAACGCCGGAUCGUUAACCCACUGAGCAAGGCCAGGGAUCGAACCCGCAACCUCAUGGUUCCUAGUCGGAUUCGUUAACCACUGCGCCACGACGGGAACUCCUCAAAUUUUUUAAAAAGAAUAAAAAUACCCACUGUUAGCUCUAGAGAUACAGAAUGAAAGGUAAAUUGAUCAGUUUUCUCUGAUAACCACAAAAUAAUAACUGGGAAAAUGCACCAAGAUGGGCUUAAAAGUUCUUCUUUGCAACAUUGUUUAUAGUCAUUAAAUAUUGGAAAUAAAUGUGUAAUGUAAAAGACUGAAUAAAAUAUGAUCAUCAUAUGUUGAACAAUUCCCAGAAGGUCAUUGAAGAGUGUUUACAGGUUUCUAUUUACUGAUUUAAAAUAUACUAAAUGAGGAAGAGCAAAUUACAGAGUGCUAUUACAGCAGAAUUGCACUGGAUUUUUGUGUCAUGUUUGUGUGUGUGUUAGGGCUGUCUGAUGUGUGUGUAAAUAGACAUAUGUCUCAGAGAGAGAAUGAGAUUUAAAAGGCAUUAUAGCAAAGUAUAAGUAAGGGCUACAUCUGGGCAGAAGGAUUUCAACCGUUGUUUCCUUUCACUUCUCUGUAUUUCUAACACAUAUAUCACCUGCACGAUUUUUUUUUUUUCAAAAAUGGAAGAAAAAGACUCACUUUUAAGUCACCUCUUCCAAAACGUCUUCCUUGACCCUCUAGUCUGGUCUGGUUAGAUGCCCCAACCUUUGUAUUCCCAGAGCAUCGUGCGUUUCUCUCUCUCGUAGCACUUACACACUAGGUUUUAAUUAUCCAUUUACUUACUGCUUCCUCUGCCCAAGCUGGGAGCUGCCUGAGGACAGAUAGGAAGUAUAUCUUAUUUGCUUCUGUGGACCCAGAAGUAACACAAGGCUUGGCAUAAAAUGGUCCUUGGUGGAUGUUUGACCAGGUCUCAGAGAGCAUAUGUUUCCUAAAAAAAUGAAAAAAAAAAUAUAUAAAAAGGGAGUUCCCACUGUGGUUCAGCAGAUUAAGAACUCGACUAGUAUCCAUGAGGAUGAAGGUUCGAUCCCUGGCCUCGCUCAGUGGAUUAAGGAUCCGGCAUUGCCACAAGCUGCAUGUGGGUCACAGAUGUGGCUGGGAUCUGGCAUGGCUGUGGCUGUGGUGUAGGCCGGCAGCUGCAGCUCGGAUUGGAUCCCUAGCCUGGGAACCUCCAUAUGCUGCAGGUGCAGCCCUAAAAAGUAAAAAGAGAAGAGGGAGCAUCUGUUUCCUUAUCUUUAAAAUGGAGGUAAUCCCUGGGCCGUGCCCAGCCCGCAGGAGGUUGGGAGGAACACGGGAUCCGUGGACCUCUAAGUGUUUUAUAAACUGCUAAGCAGUGUGCCCUUACAACAGAGCACUGCUGCUAAUGAUUCACUACUGAUAAUGACAAUCAUCCAUAGUCCUCAGCCUCAGCCUCCUAGCACCACUCUCUCCGGGGAACUGAGAUCACUAAGAAGAUGCAAGGCCCUUCAGCCAGACUCUGAAUCCUCUCCCACCCUCUCCUAGCCUGGAUGCUCCCCUAACUCAGCAAGCCCCCUACUUGCUGUCCAGCCUAACCCUUCCUCUGUCUCCCAGAACCUACACCCUUAAUAGUGUCUCCUCUCAUGAUAGUUUAGAAAAAUAUUUUCUCUCUUUUAUCUGCGUAUUAAAAUGGGGUUCGGGUUGAUGGGGAAAACACUAAAAAGAAAGCAAAUAAAAAUUACCCACAACCUUACCAGCACCGUGCAGAAACUAUUAACCAAUCAUAUUAUUUCUUUCAAAUCUUUAUACACAUUUAUUUACUAUUUUCUUUAAUAUUUAUUUUUUUGGCCACGCCUGCGGCAGGUGGAAGUUCCCAGGCCAGGGGUCGAACCUGAGCCACAGCAGUGACAAUACCAGAUCCUUAACCUGCUGAAACACCAGAGAACUUCUUGGUAUCUAAAUAAAAUUUUCAUUAGGCGUUCCAAUCCUAGCCCCUAGAUCCAAGAAAAUAAGAAAGCUGUAUUCUGCCUGACUGGAGAAGCAGUUUUUUGUUUUGUUGGGUUUUUUUGUUUUGUUUUGUGGGGUUUUUUUAUUUUUUUUUAUUUUCUUAUUUUUAUCUUUUUUUUUUUUUUUUGCUUUUUAGGGUUGCACUUGCGGCAUAUGGAAGUUCCCAGGCUAGGGGUUGAAUCAGAGCUGUAGCCACCAGCCACACCCACAGCCACACGGGAUCCGAGCCAUGUCUUUGAACUACACCACAGCUCAUGGCAAUGCCAGAUCUCCGACCCAUUAAGUGAGGCCAGGUAUCAAACCUGCAUCCUCAUGGAAACUAGUUGGAUUCACUUCUACUGAGCCACCAUGGUUACUCCCGAGAAACAGUUUUUAAAGCACGGUGUGGACAAAAUCUAUAGCCUACAACAUACAAUCUUGUUCUUCCUAACUGAUUUGUAUCUCCUGACAUGUGAUAUGAUAUGUCAUUGGACUCUCUUCAAUAUAACAUUAAAAUGAAUUUCUUUAUGGAAAAAUAAAAUAAAAUAGAUCUACAUAUAUACAUGGUUAUCUGAUUUAUUACAAAGGUGUCACUGCAAAUAAAUUGAGAGAAGAUGGUGUUUUUAAUAAAUGCUGUUAGAUCAAUUGCAUGAAUCUUGACCCCUACUCUUAUAUCAUUGAGAGAAAGUUUAGGAUGAAUCAAAGAUGAAUCAAAGACCUACUUGUGAAAAGUAAAGAAUAAAACUUCUAGAAGAAAGCACAGGAGAAUGUCUUCAUUACCGUGAAGAAGUAAAAUUUUCUUAAGACACCAAAAGAAUAAACCAUAAGAAAAGAUUGUGAGGGAGUUCCUGCUGUGGCUUAGUGGAAACAAACCCGAUAGUAUCCACAAGGAUGCAGAUUUGAUCCCUGGCCUCAAUCAGUGGGUUAAGGAUCUGGACUUGCCGUGAGCUGUGUGUAGGUCGUAGAUGUGGCUCCGAUCUGGCAUGACUGUGACUGUGUGUAGGCCGGCAGCUGCAGCUCCAAUCCAACUCCUAGCUUGGGAACUUCUGCAUGAUGCAGAUGCAGCCCUAAAAAGCAAAAAAAAAAAAAAAUGAGAGAGAGAGAGAAAAGAUUGUGAAAUUGAACUUCAUUAAAAUUAAGAAUUUCCAGGAGUUCCUGCUGCAGGGCAAUGGGUUAAGAAUCUGACUGCAGGCAUUCCCAUCAUGGCUCAGGGGAAAUGAAUCUGACUAGUAUCCAUGAGGGCGCAGGUUCGAUCCCUGGCCUCGCUGAGUGGGUUAAGGAUCCAGCAUUGUUGUGAACUGUGGUGUAGGUUGCAGACACGGCUCAGAUCUGGUGUUGCUGUGGCUGUGGUGUAGGGCUAUGGUGUAGGCCAGCAGUUGUAGCUCCAAUUCAAUCCCUAGCCUGGGAAACUCCAGGGGCCACAGCUGUGGCCCUAAAAAGACAAAAAAAAAAAAAGUAGAAUCUGACCGCAGCAGCUGGUGCAGAGGUAUGGGUUUGGUUCCUGGCCCAGCACACUGGGCCCAGUUCUGGUGUUGCCACAGAGCAGCUUAGGUCACAGCUGUGGUUUUGAUUCAGUCCCUGGCCAGGGAACUUCCAUGUGCUGUGGGGUGUGGCCAUAAAUUUUUUUUUUAAUUCAGAAUUUCCAUUCAGCAAAAAAAAAAAACAAAACACAACAAUCAGGAGUCCCCAUCAUGGCAUAGCAGAAACAAAUCCAACUAGGAACCUCGAGGUUGCAGGUUGGAUCACUGGCCUUGCUCAGUGGGUUAAGGAUCUGGCAUUGCCAUGAGCUGUGGUGUAGGUCGCAGACACUGCUCAGAUCUGGUGUUGCUGUGGCUGUGGUGUAGGCUAGUGGCAACGGCUCCAAUUAGACCCCUAGCCUGGGAAUCACCAUAUGCCGUGGGUACGGCCCUAUAAAGACAAAAAAAAGAAAAAAAAUCAGACCACAGACUAGGAGAAAAUAUUUGAGUGAAAAAUCAGGCCACAGACUGGAGAAUAUAUAAUGGAGGGUGUAUGUAUAAUGAAGGUGUGUAUCCAGAAUUUAUCAAGAACAGCUAUGUUUAGAAAAAGACAGACAACCCGGUUUUUUUUUUUUUGAAUGGGCAGACUUAAAUGAAUACGGCAUAAAAAAGGAUCACUAGCCAGUAAGCAGAUGAAAAGAUGCUAAACAUCAUUAGUUAUCACAGAAUGCAAGUUAAAACCACAAUGAAAUAGCACUACCCCAACAAGAAUGGCUGAAAUUAAGAUACCAAGUGUUGGCGAAGAUGGGGAGCCCCUAAAACUCCCAUUAAUUGCGUGUGGGGGGGGUGUAAGUUUCUACAACCACUU
rnacentral:lncRNA from 1 species